rnacentral:tRNA from 1 species
GCUUAGUUGGCAAAGCAUGAGACUCUUGAUCUUGGGGUCGUGAGUUCAAGCCCCACAUUAGGCA